UACAGAGGGUGCAAGCGUUAAUCGGAAUUACUGGGCGUAAAGCGCGCGUAGGUGGUUUGUUAAGUUGGAUGUGAAAGCCCCGGGCUCAACCUGGGAACUGCAUUUGUGACUGCAAGGCUAGAAUCUGGCAGAGGGGGGUAGAAUUCCACGUGUAGCAGUGAAAUGCGUAGAUAUGUGGAGGAAUACCGAUGGCGAAGGCAGCCCCCUGGGCUAAGAUUGACGCUCAUGCACGAAAGCGUGGGGAGCAAACAGG
rnacentral:rRNA from 1 species